GUCAGUUAUUGCUGGGUAGUGAGUUCACAGAAAUACUAUGCUGUUGCCUGGCAACCUGUGGGCGGUACCUUGGAGAACCGGGAGAGAAGCAUGACAACGCGCAGCCUUGCUCCAGGGUUGACUUUUCUUUCCAAAGGACUCAAUGGGGAGAUGUCACUGCGUUUCCUUUGAACGGAAAAUGGAUCUGGUUUACUGCGGUGCUAAAGCUGGCCUCCAGCUUCCUCCUCCCAGACCACUGGAGAGCAUUGACAGCCGUCCCACUCCCGACCCUUUCCAGAAGUUGGAAGUGUGAUGGCUAUCUGCAGGCCAGAUUCCAAUACUUACUGGCACAGAAGCUUUAACCUGGUUCCAUUUUUCUGACCUGGGCUGAAUUCUUCCACCAACCUCCCAUAGGCAACGUGGUGGCCUCCCAGAUAUGGACGAUCAAUUGGCUUUUGCCCUACUGCAGCUCAGAAUUCCCAGAUUCAAGUUAUCUGUUAUCCUUAGUCUCUCCCAGGAGCAAGUAUUAUACACAUGUGCCACUAUGCCUGGCCCUUUUUAUCUGAUCCUUUGAAGAAUUUCAAUGGUAUUUUUAUUGCUAUUUAGGUCAUAUUGUCAACUUUCCUAUAUUAGUUCUAUUUAGAUUAUGUACAUUAAAUAUUUCUUCAAUUAU
ensembl:lncRNA uncharacterized LOC103093978